rnacentral:tRNA from 1 species
GUGGGUAUAGCUCAGUGGUAGAGUGCAUACUUACCAUGCAUGAGGUCCUGGGUUCAGUCCCCAGUACCUCCA